rnacentral:rRNA from 1 species
AGACUUUGAAGAGAGAGUUAAAAAGUACGUGAAACCGUUGUGAGGUAAACGGAGAGGCCCGGCGGGUCGCUUCGGUGCUUUCAGUUCGGCGGCGGUUGCGCUUGCUUGCUUGGGAUGCGUAAGCACUCGGGCGGGCUUGUGCGGCUGUUGCCUUGCGCAUUAGUGCUGUUGCGAACGCUGCGAUCGGUUGGGCGGGAACUAGAAAUUCUGCGCGAAGGUAGCUCCGAAGGCUUCUGGCUCGAAGAGUGUUACAGCGUGCGGAAUGGACGGCUUUCUGCCUGAUCGGGGUACCUGCCGCGUCGACCGUAGGGUGAGUGUCGCGAUGCGCGUUUGUCUGGUGUUUGUUGUCCACUGUUUUCAGAGGGCGACUUGCAUCGGGCGUUCGUCGUGCUGCGAUCCCUCUCGGCGCCAAGGGUUGCGGUUAUGCCGGCCACC